rnacentral:rRNA from 1 species
GACGAACGCUGGCGGCGUGCUUAACACAUGCAAGUCGAGCGGAGCGGCGGACGGGUGAGUAACGAGUGAGUAACUGCCCCCCUCACUGGGCUAACAGUUGGAAACGGCUGCUAAUACCGGAUAGUGUGGGAUGAAUCGCGUCCAAUACGUUUGUUGGUGGAGUAGUGGCCUACCAAUGCGACGACGGGUAGCCGGCCUGAGAGUGCGUACGGCCACAUUGGGCUGAGGUACCACCCGCACUCCAACGGGAGGCAGGAGUGGAGCAUGUUGCUCAAUAGGGUGAACCCUGAAGCAGCAACGCCGCGUGCGGGAUGACUGCCUUCGAGUUGUAAACCGCGUUCAGUCAUGACGCGGUAGUGGCAGAGGAAGCACCGGCUAACUACGUGCCAGCAGCCGCGGUAAUAC